GUACGUAGUCGUAGAUUUUUCUACAUCUUUUAAAAUGUAUGUAUAUGGCUGUACAUACAUUGUGUAUCGUAGGCAUACAGAUACAUAUAUGUGCAUAUAUAUGUACACACAUAUGCACACAUGUGUAUGCGCACACACGCACACAUAAACACACACACACGCGCACAUACACACACACACGUUGCUCAAACAGAUUCCAGUUGUUUCAAUAUGCGCAAGAGAAGCUCGCCGUUUAUCGACUCCUCACGCCUCUGAGGAGAAUGUGAAUGGCCAGAAGUUCCAGCUUCGGUUCCAUGUCAGAGUAUGUCAGAUACCAAGGAAGAAGCUGCGCAAGCGUGUGGUCGACUGCGUACACUUCCGCCACUUGAAAUUUCUAGAUAUCUUAAAGACGAACUACUGCGAAAGCAUUUGCCGACGACGCUUUCAUUAAUCACGAACGACAGUUAGGGUCUCGGAGACGAUCAGACAGCAUCGUAGUGUUAACCAUAAACUAUACAGGGGAGCCCCCCCUUCAGU
rnacentral:ncRNA from 1 species